rnacentral:rRNA from 1 species
AAACUCAAAGGAAUUGACGGGGACCCGCACAAGCAGCGGAGCGUGUGGUUUAAUUCGAUGCUACACGAAGAACCUUACCAGGGUUUGACAUGCAAGUGGUAGGAAUCUGAAAAGGGACCGACCUUCGGGGAGCUUGCACAGGUGCUGCAUGGCUGUCGUCAGCUCGUGUCGUGAGAUGUUCGGUUAAGUCCGCUAACGAGCGCAACCCUCACUGUGUGUUAUAUGUGUCACACGGGACUGCCGGUUUUAAGCCGGAGGAAGGUGGGAUGACGUCAAGUCAGCAUGGCCUUUAUAUCCUGGGCUACACACACGCUACAAUGGUCGGUACAAUAGGUUGCCAAGCCGCGAGGCGGAGCCAAUCCACAAAGCCGGCCUCAGUUCAGAUUGUAGGCUGCAACUCGCCUGCAUGAAGAUGGAGUUGCUAGUAACCGCAGGUCAGCAAUACUGCGGUGAAUACGUUCCCGGGUCUU